rnacentral:rRNA from 1 species
CCCUUAGAUGUUCUGGGCUGCACGCGCGCUACACUGAAGCUAUCAACACGUUUUCCCUCCCUGAGAAGGGCGGGUAACCUUUUGAAUCAGCUUCGUGGUAGGGAUCGGGGCUUGCAAUUGUUCCCCGUGAACCAGGAAUUCCUAGUAGACGCGAGUCAUAAGCUCGCAUCGAUUAAGUCCCUGCCCUUUGUACACACCGCCCGUCGCUACUACCGAUUGAACGUUUUAGUGAGGCCUUUGGACCGACGCAUCUCAGUUUAACCGCUGGUUUGUGUUGGAAAGACUUCCAAACUUGAGCGUUUAGAGGAAGUAAAAGUCGUAACA